GAUGAACGCUGGCGGCGUGCCUAAUACAUGCAAGUCGAGCGAACGGACGAGAAGCUUGCUUCUCUGAUGUUAGCGGCGGACGGGUGAGUAACACGUGGAUAACCUACCUAUAAGACUGGGAUAACUUCGGGAAACCGUAGCUAAUACCGGAUAAUAUUUUGAACCGCAUGGUUCAAGAGUGAAAGACGGUCUUGCUGUCACUUAUAGAUGGAUCCGCGCUGCAUUAGCUAGUUGGUAAGGUAACGGCUUACCAAGGCAACGAUGCAUAGCCGACCUGAGAGGGUGAUCGGCCAGACUGGAACUGAGACACGGUCCAGACUCCUACGGGAGGCAGCAGUAGGGAAUCCUACGCAAUGGGCGAAAGCCUGACGGAGCAACGCCGCGUGAGUGAUGAAGGUCUUCGGAUCGUAAAACUCUGUUAUUAGGGAAGAACAUAUGUGUAAGUAACUGUGCACAUCUUGACGGUACCUAAUCAGAAAGCCACGGCUAACUACGUG
rnacentral:rRNA from 1 species